AUAAGCUUAAAUAGUCUUGAUCGCGAGGUUGCGAGAUUGCUGAGUCCCCGUGGCUCAUAGAUACUUCCAAAACCAGUUUGCAGGUGCCGAUGAGACCGUGCAGAUGACGCAACCAAGCUCAGGAGGAGCUCGAUGAAGAUCUUGUUCUUUGUGUUGUUUCGUUCUAGUAGAUCAGUAGUGGAGCCCAGUUGGGGUCGAUCGGGGACCUUUGUCGCAUUUGGGGUUCUUCUUUUAUUUUGGUUCCGUAGUCGGACCAUGAGUGUAUUUGGUUGAUGUAAUGCUCUAUUCAUGUAUUUGUGUGAAGUGGCGAUUGUAAGCCAACUAUGUAACUUUUCCCCUAUUGUAUUACAUGGGUUGUGUGAAGAUUACCUCACUUGCGACAUUGCCUUCAAUGCGAUUAUGCCUCUAAGUCAUGCCUCGACACGUGGGAGAUAUAGUCACAUCGAGGGUGUUACAAGUUGGUAUCAGAGCCUUCCCCGACCUUAGGAGCCCCCUUUGCUUGAUCGUUUUUAGCAACCGAGUUGUGUCUAGAAAAAUGUUUUGAGUCCUUAGGAAUUAUAUAUCGGAGAGCUUAGGAAUUCUUUUUUACUUCCCAGUCUCCUCAUCGCUCUGGUAAGGCAUCCUGACGUAGAGUUUGACUCUUUUCUUCUCAAAUUUCACUAAUUUUUUUUAGGAUCACGCGAGUAUCUUGGAUUUGUUCCGAUGGCUUAUGAUGAGAAUACUGUCUUGGUGCCUCCUGUCAGGGGUUUAGUGGAAGUGUCCCGGGGAGUUGAGCUCUGAGGUGUUGUCAUCAUAAUUUUAUCGUUGCAAUUCUGGUAUACUUGAGAUAUGUUCGCGACAUUGAAAAUCUCCUUUAUGCAGUUUGUUGGUGAGAUAACCUCGACGCCACCCAGUACUGGGGCGGGAGUUCGGGAGUAUCGCCAUAACUUGUAUAACGGAUGCUUUUAGAAGGUUGAGGUAGAUGGUUUCCGAAGAUUUCUUGGUUAUGUGUUGAAGGAUGGAUACACCUGGAUGUAGGAUUUGCUAGUUUGUGUGAGAUAUUAUGCUUCCCCUGUAUCCCCAACACCUGAUUGCAUAACCGGAAAGUUUCGGGAGUUUCAUAGGUGGGAAUUCAAGUAGCUCUUAGGAUAUCUUUCUGUCAGAUGUAUGAUAUGAAAUUGGGGUUCGACGUCUAGUGGUUCGCCUAUUCACGGUCGAUUUUAUAGUGGUCUCGUUGUGUCUUAAAGAGUCCUUGGCUAUGCUGACUCGGGGACGCUUCGUAUGUCAUGUGCACUUCCUUGUACAUGAUGGUGCUGUACGGUCGAGCCCGUGUAGGUCCCACCACGAAAACUUCGGACGAAAUCUCUAUCAUAUGUUUGUUCUGGCUUAUUCUGCAAGCCAACCUUUUGUUUUUGUUUUGAGUUGUGGUAUUCGAGUUGCUUCGAAGUCAAAUGUUGAUUCCAUACCUUUCAUAAAUGGUGUUCUCAUACUCUGAUGUGAAUACCAAUCCUUCAUGAUAAUUGAGUUUGUCAUUUCAAUUUCUUCUCACCGGCGUGUUUUCUCUUCAAGUGGAUACAAUCAUUUCAACUUCCGCAAGAUCAAUUAUCACUUCUUCUUAACGGUGUUUGUUUCAUUCGUCUCCAAGUUGCCUUUGUUUUCCCACCCUCCCUCCCUUGCUUUUCUCCGAGGACUCAUAUAUCUAAUCAAGUAUCAUUUUAUUGAUGUGAAGUCUAUUCUUUCUUUCCUAUCAAUAUUCUUACCCGGUGUUGCUCAUGAAGUUUCUAACGGAGCUUCAAGUUCGUCACUCUUUACUCAUUUUCCUUCUCCGGUGGAUUCAACUCAAGCCUUCGGUGUUGAUCAUAUCCUUUUCCUCGUUUCAGAAGCUUUAUCAUACCGGUGCUCAUCAUAUUCAUUCACUUCUCGCUAUUCAAUUGUUUCGGAGUGCUCAAGAUAUCUCGAAGAUUCGUGUUUCCACUCUUCUUUCAUUCAAGCUUUUUCGAGGAUGUUAUAUCAUUCAAGCCUUUUUUAAUUCAACCGGUGCAACCUCUCUUUUAAAUCAUUUCAACGGUGUAUCUUUUCAGUGGGCCCUAACCCACAGGUCUUUUUUCCAGGAUCUUACCUGACUCUUCUUAUUUUCCCGGAGUUAUCCUAAAUUACUUUCGAAGCUUGACGUAAGAAUGAUUUAUCAUCAGUCAAAUGCCUUUCUCCAAGAUCUCUCAAUUUCUUAUCGUCGUUGGGUCAACCUUUUCCAUUAUUCAUUCCGGAGUGCCUCAAUAAUUCUUGGUAGUGUUUCUCGUUGUCAUUCUCAUCAUUUGAAGACCAAAGAAGAUUUUUCUCUCAAUCUUGCUCCAUUCUCUUCAAGUUUCGCGAUUCUGUCUUGUUGCCAUCCUCUCAUAAUUAUUUGCGGUUGUGAGAUAUUCUUUUCAACCAUCCGGAGCAAUUCAGGAGCCUUUUUCAGUUUGUUCAUCCGGAGUCCAUCAUCUCAGAAUUUAUUCAUUCUCAGCUUUCAGCUCUCGUUCUUCAAUUUUACCGGUGCAGCGUUCAAGUGAUCUCUAAUCGGUCCAUGAUCUAUUAUAUUCACUUGUAUCUAAAUUCUCUCAAGCAUCUUCGUCCAUUUGCUAAUUCUUUCCGGUGUUUCCUUAUCUUUACUUUGUUCAUAAUCAAUUCUUCCGGUGGUUCGUUCAAGAUUUCUCUUCCUUUCUUAUCAUAUCAAUUUUAUUUGUUGUUCCAAUCUUACCGGUGGUUCGUUGAAGACCUUCUCAAGUUGGCGCUAUAUCUAUCUUAAUCCUUUCUACGAGAAUAAGUAGUGUGCCAAAUCCAUUGAUUGUCAUCAAUUUAAUUGGUGAAGGAUACGCAUAACGUAAUUCUUAUUCUUGCUUCAUCCAAGUGAUUAAUUCUUUAUUCCGGAGGCUCAUCUAAAUUCUUGAUCUCAAUUGUUCAUCAUAUAUUUUUCCGGAGUUCCAAGCCCUCUCAACUAUAUCGUCACGAAGAUCCGUCUAAUCAUUUUAAGGGUUCAACCUGUGUUUUCAACUUUUCUUUCCAUUUGUCUGACCAUUCUUUUACCGGAGUUUCUUCAUGGAGGCUAUACAUGAGGGUUCAUCAAAGAUUAUUUCCUUCUCGAAGUUUUCAUCGAGAUUCUUUUAAGAAGCUCAAGUUUUUCUUCAUCUUGCAAUCCGGAGUGCAUUUCUUCUACCGUAUCUUUGGAGGUGGUAUUAUGUCAUUCUUGAUAAUUUGAGCUCAUGUUUCAUGAUUCACAUGUUGUCAUGAAUGAGAUAUUUUUAAAUCCAUCAAUCUCGUCAUUGGAGUUAUCUUGGGUUAUAUUUCACCUAAAGCCUACCCUAAGGAGUGGUGCUAUUAUGGUGCUUAUAAGUGAUCCAAGUUCUUCAUUUAUCCUCCCGGUGAUAUAAGUUCUCGUCUCCUUGUUGUUAUCAAUCUAAUAUAUCGUUUCUGUUAGUGGUAGAAUUCACCUCAUAGUUUUGAGAUGUUUUCCAUAAGCCCACUACAAACUUAUUAUUUUCGUUGUUGGUUUUCCAACAACUCCGUUCUAGCUUUUGUUGUAAGCGUGCUCCCUCGAGUUCUGUUUCCCUUCGUUCAUCCCAUUCCAUUCUUACUUUUGUUCCGGAGGCAUUGUGAUGUUGUUCUGUUCAACCUUCUUCUUGUUCUUGUCAGGAUCAUGUUCUUUUCAUGUUUAUCCAGUUAACCGGAGUGUUGUGUCCUCUUGUCAAGUAUCCUCUCAUCUUGCCUUGUUCAAUUCCUUCCAUUUACAGACGGAGUGCUGUCCAAAUUAUAUCGCUCUUAUUCCUUCCCUAUCUUGCUUAACCGGAGUAUUGUGCCCCUUUGUUCAAGUUCUUUUUGCCUUAUCAAGCCUUGCAUCCCUUUCUCAACCAGAGUGCCGUGUUUUCAUUUGAGCUCGCUCAUCUUAUCAAAUUUUGACUCCCUUCUCAACCGGAGUGCUGUCUGAGAUUUUUCUUACCCCUUGUUCCAUUCAUUCAAUAGUUCCGGUGGCAGUGUGUUGUGAUUUUAUCAAGUAUCUUCUCAUCUUAUCAAGACCUUAUUCAAUUCUUUUCUUUCCAACCGGAGUGCUGCCCGAUUUUUUGUUUUCCUUGAUCCCCUUCCUUAACUGGAGUGUUUCAAUAUAUAUCUUCCCUUCAACCGCAAGGUUUCGCAAUGCUCUUUGUCCCUCUUUUCUAACUGAGUGUUUUCGACUUUGUCCACCUUCGUUGUAUUCUUUUCUCGAAAUGGCUUAACCUUUUUCAAGGUUCUUUGGUUUCACUCGUUUGUCAAAGAAGCAACUUAGUUUUACCUCUCCUCUUCCUCUUCCGUUUUCCCCCCGGUGCUAUUCUAGAUCUCGGGACGAGAUCCUCUCGUAGUGGUGGAGUGUUGUAACGCCCCGAGACCGAUGUGCCAGGUGUCGUUCUGUUAUUCGCUGUUGUUGCCAUGUCAUUGCUUGCGUGUCAUUCAUUGCAUAUCAUGUCAUCAUGUGCAUUUCAUUUGCAUACAUGUUCAUCUCAUGCAUCCGAGCAUUUUCCCCGUUGUCCGUUUUGCAUUCCGGCGCUUCGUUCUCCUCCGGUGGUCAUUUCUACCUUCCUCAUGUAUGUGGGGGUUAAACAUUUCCGGAUUGGACCGAGACUUGCCAUGCGGCCCUGGUUUACUACCGGUAGACCGCCUGUCAAGUUUCGGGUCAUUUGGACUUCGUUUGAUACUCCAACGGUUAACCGAGGGACCGAGAAGGCCUCGUGUGUGUUGCAGCCCAACACCCUUCCAAAGUGGCCCAAAAACCCACCUAACUCUGCUCCAUCGUCUCGGUCGUUCGAUCACGAUCGCGUGGCCGAAAACCGCACCCCAUUUGGACUCUCCUAGCUCCCUCUGCCUAUAUAUAUGUCAUCCCCUCCGUUCUGGUCCGUCAGAUCGCUAUCGGAGGCUCCGAAACGCUCCAAAAACCCCCCUAACCCUAAAACCUGCCCUAUAUAAACCUUCUCCCCUUCCAUUUUGGGCAGCUACCUACCCCUCCUCCUAAAUUUCUGUGCCCCAAUCAUCUCCCAGCCGCCUCCCACCUCCUCUCCUCGAAUUCCGGCGUCGGCCAACCCCUCAAGCGCCACUUGGCGCCGCCCAACUGGCCAGCCGCUGCGGGCCAGGAGCUCUCCUCCACUCCGCAUGUGCCACGUCGCCCCCCUGGUGCCCACUUCGCCGCGGCCCUCGUGGCCCAUCCGCGGCCCGCCCCAGGCCGAUCUGGGCCCGCGCCUUCCCGCACAGCGCCGCCGUCUCGCUUUGGAUCGGGAGGAGCCCGAUCCCGCAGCUGCCUCCGCCGCCGAGCGCCUCUCCGCCGGCGACCUCGCCUGCUCGCCGGAUCCGCCCUCCUCGCCGUGUCGCCCAUGCCCUUCCUCCCCUCGCCGAAACUGCAUUGUCGUCCUCUUCUCCGGGGAUCGCCGGAGCGCGCCGCCCUGCGACUUGGAGCCCCGUCCGGCGCCGCUGUCGCCAGAUCCGGUCAUUACGCGCUGGGAUCCGCCCCUUCCUGCUCAUGGCCGGCCUCCCCUCGCCGGAGCACAUCUCCGCCGGAACCGCGCCGCCGUCCACGGCUUCACCGGAGUCAUUUCUCCCUGCGCUAGAUCGGGAGGAGCCCGAUCCAUCUGCGUUGACCGCGCCUGUGCCUCCACGUGGGCCACGCCCGAGUCUGGCCCAGCUCGCCGGCCUCCUUCCUCUUCAUUUCGGGCCGCGCUCCCGGGCCCAUCUCCAGCGCCGGCCUCGCUUGGCCUCCUCCCCAGCUCCCUUCGCCAGCCGCGUGGGCCGCAUCCAGAGCCCAGCCGGCCUCGCCUCGGCCUCCUUCCUUCUCUGCUGGGCCAGGCCCCAGGGUGAGCCGCCCCAGCGCCCCCCUCCUCUAUUUUUUUCUGCUGCUGUUGGGCUUGCCCAGUGCACUGUUCAGAUUUGGCCCGUGAUGUAUUUUUUCAGCGCCUGCGAUUUUUUCCUAUUAUUCCUGAGUUAGCAGUUUUGCAGUUUAGUCCUCCUAGAUCAUGCAUUUAAUAACCCAUUAACCGUGCAUCGGAUGUAAAUAAUUUAUAUAUGAAACUUGCUUAAAAUUAUGUGUAGAUUAAUAAUAUGUCACAUUCACCUAUGUUUGAAAUAUUUAAAAUUAUGUUUGAUUAAAUUUGCUCCUAUGCCAUGUUAAAAUGAUUUAAUUCAUAACUAAAUAACCGUAGCUCCGAUUUAAAUAAACUUUAUAUGUAAAUGGGGUAGAUUUUCGCCUAGUUUAUCAUGGUGGCAUCACUUUGCAUGUUUAAUAACUCUAAAAUUAUGUUUAGGGCAGAUCAGGACCAAAUCUAAAAUAUGCUAUGGGGAUUUUCCGGAAUUAUUGUUCGUUGCUUCCGGCCUCAUUUAAACUUGACUAGAUAGGUAGUUUUACUUUGCUUCACCCUCUUGCCAUGUUUAACAACAUUUAAUAUUGUUGGGUACUUAAACGAGAGAGAACUAAAUAAUUGAUGUGGUGUUUUGUCAAUAUGCAUCUCGUUGCAUAUUGAGUUCCACUUAAAUUGUAGGAUUGCUUGUGCACCUUGCCAUGCCAUGCCUCUUUAAACCGGACAUGCAUCAUACUCGAUUGUGCAUCAUGCCAUGUUGAUGUGUUGGUUGCUUACUAUGUUGUGUGCUUCUUUUCCGGUGAUUGCUUCUUCGGGUUGGUUCCGGUAACCUCGUGUUGUGAGGAUCCGUUCGUCUACGUCCGUUUGUCUUCUUCAUGGACUCGUUCUUCUUCCUUGCGGGAUUUCAGGCAAGAUGAUCAUACCCUCGAAAUCACUACUAUCUUUGCUAUGCUAGUUUGCUCGCUCUUUUGCUAUGCCAAUGCUACGAUGCCUACCACUUGCUUGUCAGCCUCCCAAAUUGCCAUGUUCAGCCUCUAACCCACCAUUGUCCUAGCAAACCGUUGAUUGGCUAUGUUACCGCUUUGCUCAGCCCCUCUUAUAGCGUUGUUAGUUGCAGGUGAAGAUUGAAGUUUUGUUCCUUGUUGGAACAUGGAGAUCGUUCCUUGUUGGAACAUUGUUUUCUUGUUGGGAUAUCACCAUAUAUCUUAUUUAAUUAAUGCAUCUAUAUACUUGGUAAAGGGUGGAAGGCUCGGCCUUAUGCCUGGUGUUUUGUUCCACUCUUGCCGCCCUAGUUUCCGUCAUAUCGGUGUUAUGUUCCCGGAUUUUGCGUCCCUUACGCGGUUGGGCUAUAAUGGGAACCCCUUGACAGUUCGCCUUAAGUAAAGCUUUGCCAGCAAUGCCCAACAUUGGUUUUACCAUUUGCCACCUAGCCUUUUUCCCUUGGGAGUCGUGCAUCCCGAGGGUCAUCUUUAUUUUACCCCCCCGGCCAGUGCUUGUCUAAGCGUUGGUCCAAACUAGAGCCCCUUGCAGCGCCACCUCGGGGAAACUUGAGGGGUGGUUUUAGUUGUACGGAUUGCUUAUCCGGUGUUGCCCUGAGAACGAGAUAUGUGCAGCUCCCAUCAGGAUGUCGGCGCAUCGGGCGGUGUUGCUGGUUUAGUUUUACCCAUGUCGAAAUGUCUUGUUAUACUGGGAUACCGAGUCUGAUCGGAAUAUCUCGGGUGGAGGUCUAUUCCUUCGUUGACCGUGAGAGCUUGUCAUGGGCUAAGUUGGGACACCCUGCAGGGAUUUGAACUUUCGAAAGCCGUGCCCGCGGUUAUGGGCAGAUGGGAAUUUGUUAACGUCCGGUUGUAGACAACCUGAACUUGACCUUAAGUAAAAUGAAUCAACUGUGUGUGUAACCGUGAUGGUCUCUUUCCGGCGGAGUCCGGGAAGUGAACACGGUUGUUGGAGUUAUGCUUGACGUAGGUAGUAUAGGAUCACUUCUUGAUCAUACUUUAUCGACCGUGCUUUGCCUUCUCUUCUCGCUCUCAUUUGCGUAUGUUAGCCACCAUAUAUGCUAGUCGCUUGCUGCAGCUCCACCUCAUACCUUUACCUUACCCAUAAGCUUAAAUAGUCUUAAUCGCGAGGGUGCGAGAUUGCUGAGUCGCCAUGGCUCACAGAUACUUCCAAAACCAGUUUGCAGGUGCCGAUGAGACCAUGCAGAUGACGCAACCAAGCUCAGGAGGAGCUCGAUGAAGAUCUUGUUCUUUGUGUUGUUUCGUGCUAGUAGAUCAGUAGUGGAGCCCAGUUGGGGUCGAUCGGGGACCUUUGUCGCAUUUGGGGUUCUUCUUUUAUUUUGGUUCCGUAGUCGGACCAUGAGUGUGUUUGGUUGAUGUAAUGCUCUAUUCAUGUAUUUGUGUGAAGUGGCGAUUGUAAGCCAACUAUGUAACUUUUCCCCUAUUGUAUUACAUGGGUUGUGUGAAGAUUACCUCACUUGCGACAUUGCCUUCAAUGCGAUUAUGCCUCUAAGUCGUGCCUCGACACGUGGGAGAUAUAGUC
rnacentral:lncRNA from 1 species